UACGUAGGGUGCGAGCGUUAAUCGGAAUUACUGGGCGUAAAGCGUGCGCAGGCGGUUGUGCAAGACCGAUGUGAAAUCCCCGGGCUUAACCUGGGAAUGGCAUUGGUGACUGCACGGCUAGAGUGUGUCAGAGGGGGGUAGAAUUCCACGUGUAGCAGUAAAAUGCGUAGAGAUGUGGAGGAAUACCGAUGGCGAAGGCAGCCCCCUGGGAUAACACUGACGCUCAUGCACGAAAGCGUGGGGAGCAAACAGG
rnacentral:rRNA from 1 species